rnacentral:tRNA from 1 species
GCUCCCAUAGUGAAAUGGAUAUCACACGAGUCUUCGGAACUCGGUUUAGGGGUUCGAGCCCUCUUGGGAGCGCCA